rnacentral:tRNA from 1 species
GUGGAUAUGUUUGAAUGGUUAAGGAGACAGGCUCGGAAUCUGUUGGGAUUGCGCUGGUCUGAAUCCUGCUGUGGACG